GACGAACGCUGGCGGCGUGCUUAACACAUGCAAGUCGAGCGGUAAGGCCCUUUCGGGGGUACACGAGCGGCGAACGGGUGAGUAACACGUGGGUGACCUGCCCUCAGCUCUGGGAUAAGCCUGGGAAACCGGGUCUAAUACUGGAUAUGACUCCAUGACGCAUGUUGGUGGGGUGGAAAGCCUUGUGCGGCUGAGGAUGGGCCCGCGGCCUAUCAGCUUGGUUGGGUGGGGUGAUGGCCUACCAAGGCGACGACGGGUAGCCGGCCUGAGAGGGCGACCGGCCACACUGGGACUGAGACACGGCCCAGACUCCUACGGGAGGCAGCAGUGGGGAAUCUUGCGCAAUGGGCGAAAGCCUGACGCAGCGACGCCGCGUGAGGGAUGACGGCCU
rnacentral:rRNA from 1 species